AUGGGGCCUCCCUCAGCCCCUCCUCACAGAGUGCACAUCCCUGGCAGGCGCUUCUGCUCACAGUCCUAGCCUCACUUUUAACUUUCUGGAACUUGCCUACCACUGCCCAAGUCACUGUUGAAGCUGCAGAAGGCAAGGAGAUUCUUCCACUCACCCACAAUCUGCCUUAGGCUUGGCUACAACUGGUACAAAGGGGAAUUACAGGAUAUGUACUAGGAACUCAAGUAAUUACCCCAGGACCUGCCACAGAGGCUGAGAGACAAUAUACCCCAAUACAUGUCUGCUGAUACAGAAUGUCACCAACAAUGACACAGGAUCCUACACCCUACAAGUCAUAAAAACAGAUCUUGUGAAUGAAGAAGUAACUGGCCAGUUUCACCCGACCCCAUCUGAGUCAGCAACACCAGAGUCACAGAAGAAAAGGAUGUUGUGAUCCUGACCUGCCCCACAGAUGACUCUGGAACCUUAUCCAGUGGAUCUUCCAUGACCAGCGUCUGUGACUCAUGGAGAGAAUGGAGCUGUCCCAGGGCCACUGUAUGCUCAGCAUAAACCCCAUCAGGAGAGAGGAUGCUGGGGAGUAUCAGUGUGAGGCCUCCACCCAGGUCAGCUCCAGGAAAAAUGACCCUCUCAGACUGACU
rnacentral:lncRNA from 1 species